rnacentral:rRNA from 1 species
AACGAACGUUAGCGGUGUGGAUUAGGCAUGCAAGUCGAGCGUGAAAGUUCCCUUCGGGGAGCGAGUAAAGCGGCGAAAGGGUGAGUAACACGUAAUCAACCUACCCCCUUGACCGGAAUAACCAGUGGAAACGCUGGCUAAUGCCGGAUGGCCCUGCGGUGUGGCAUCGCGCUACAGGUAAAUGGUAGCUUCGGCUUCUGUAAGGGGAGGGGAUUGCGGCCUAUCAGCUAGUUGGUGGGGUAACGGCCUACCAAGGCGAUGACGGGUAGCCGGUCUGAGAGGACGAUCGGCCACACUGGGACUGAGACACUGCCCAGACUCCUACGGGAGGCUGCAGUCGAGGAUCUUCCGCAAUGGGCAAAGCCUGACGGAGCGACACCGCGUGCAGGAUGAAGGCC